UGCAUGUUAACAAUGAUAAUCAUUCAUAAAAGUGGAAAGCUAUUAUAGCAUGGAAAGAUAUUUGGGUAAGUGAUUUUUUUAAUAGACAUUUUUCAAGCUAAAUGUAGUCAGAAGAGCAAAUCAAUGAUUAGUUCACUUGAUUUAAAGGGCAGCUGUCUGGUUCAAGGGAGGAUGGCCUCAGGACUCAGCUUUUCCUUAAAGAAGGCAGCCAGUUGGAAAUGCCUGGAUAUUACAAAGUUUUGGCUGAAAGCAAAAAUGACGGUUUCCAAAUAAUGUAGUUUGCUAGUAUGUACCAGAGAAACAUGAUGUUAUUACUUGUACUUCCACAGCAAUUUGUUUCCCAGUGCAAGAGAGAUCUCUUCCCUCAUGCUUACCAAAAAAGAGAUAAGAGAAAUAAAGAUGGCUUCUGCUUUCUACACAGAGUAUUGAUUGUAGAACAAACCAGUAAGGACGAGAAUAGUUACCGUGUGAAAGCUAUCUGCCUCCCCUCUCCCCCCAACUCCACAGAAAACACUCUAUUUUCUCUUCAUCUGAACAGAGAAAUCAGGAGAAGGGAGAAAAAAUUAGCUCUGUUACUCAGUUACUUCUGUUGCUAAUUGAAAUAUCCAAAGAUUGCUAAAGGGUAACAUGGAAGGAGGAAAUACAACUGCAACCAGAGACAGAAGCCUCAUCUGGAGCAACCUGUAAGCAGAUGGGCUGUAAGGCUUCAUUUGUGCCUUUGUAUUCCUUAGCUAGUAGUAGAUACUGCAAAUUAAUUUAAAACUUAGCAGGCUGAGUCUUAUAGGCUCAAUGAUAAAGAGAAAAUCAAGUCACCAUUCACUGAAGAUUGCCAGUAAUGUCAACAACAAUAACAGUAGUGAUGGCAGCUACCAUUUAUUGAGAGUCUUGCAUCUAAUCAUUUUCACAAUUUUAUGUAAUUCCUCUAGUUUAUUACAAUAUUUCUAAAAGGCAGAUGUUAUUCAUAUCUUACACUAAGAAAGCCAAAGGCCAAAAAAGUUAA
rnacentral:lncRNA from 12 species